GGAGGGGGAUCGCAAGACCUCUCGCUAUUGGAGCGGCCGAUGUCAGAUUAGGUAGUUGGUAGGGUAAAAGCCUACCAAGCCUAUGAUCUGUAGCUGGUCUGAGAGGACGACCAGCCACACUGGGACUGAGACACGGCCCAGACUCCUACGGGAGGCAGCAGUGGGGAAUUUUGGACAAUGGGCGCAAGCCUGAUCCAGCCAUGCCGCGUGCGGGAAGAAGGCCUUCGGGUUGUAAACCGCUUUUGUCAGGGAAGAAAAGCGCCAGGUUAAUACCUUGGCGUCAUGACGGUACCUGAAGAAUAAGCACCGGCUAACUACGUG
rnacentral:rRNA from 1 species